rnacentral:tRNA from 1 species
GCCUUCGUGGUGUAGUGGUCAGCACACUGAGCCAGUAUUUCAGAGGUCCGUGGUUCGAUUCCUGGCGAAGGCG